GCAGCCAUAGCUCAACUGGUUAGAGCACUCGCCUGUCACGUGAGAGGUUGCCGGUUCAAAUCCGGUUGGCUGCG
rnacentral:tRNA from 1 species